GAUGAUUCAGCGUUAUUUUUUCCCCCUUGUGAUGAGAUAAAAAUCUGCCCAAUCGAGAACUGGCUUUUGUCUGGCGACACGGGGGAAAGAUCUCGUCCCCGUCCCCGUCCCCCGCGUCGCCCCCGUCUGGCGACACGGGGGAAAGACCUCGCCGCUGCUCGAAGCCGUGCCGCGCCCGAGGAUGGUGACGGCGGGGCGGCCUCGUCCUCCUCCCCCCCGCCAGAUCCCCGCCAAUCCUCGAUCUGGCCGGGGCCUCCUCCACCAUCGCCCCCCUCCCGCGCCCCUACCGGUGGGCCAGCCGGCGAGGCUGCGGCGCGCCCGGAGCUGGUACCGGUGAGGUCUCGCCCCGCCCCCCGUCAUGCCAGAGCGCCACCACCACCACCUCUUGGAUCUGAUCUGGCGCUCUGUGGUCGUGCACCUCCUCCAACUGCUGCGGUUCGUCUGCCCGUCUGAUGCGGCGGCGCGGCCACGCCCGUGAUCCUCCUCCCCGACCUGUCUCUUCUCCCCGUUUUGGUGGAGAAGGACGUUGCUUUUGGGCGUAGGUGGCUGGGCUGGCUGGGAUUUGGUCCUGCCCCGGAGCAGACCACCCUUCGUCUCCGACGGCGCCUCCUCCGAUCGGCGGUGUCGACCUCUGCGCGUGUUUGGUCAUGGUGGUCUCUCUUGGCAGUCGGUCAGAGCUCUGCGGUGGAUCCCCGUCGACAUCACUCCGGUCCUGACGGCCAUGAACCUGCGUUCUCCGGUGUCCGUGGCCUGUCAGCGCUAUGCCGGUGUGGAUUUUCGGCCUCGACGCUCCGGUAGCUGCGUCCCUUCCGGCUACUUUGGCUUGUCGGUGUUCCGGCGGCCACGUCCCUCGCAGCCCGGAUCUGCGUCCCCUUCCGGUUCCUGGCUUGCUAGCGGCGUCGGCCACCACCAUCUCCCCGCAUCGGCUCUUUGUCUGCUGCCUUCCCGACCCCGUCCACCAACACGCCACGCCGGCUCCAAAGCUUGCGUUUUUCGGUGGUGGCAGGUGCAACCUCACCUUGCUCCCUUCUGUGGUGGCGGUCGUCUAGCGUGUUGACUUCUUCAUCUUCGGAUCCUCAUCUGGACGCAAUGGGAUUGCACGAACUAAGCCCAGGAGAAAUUCUUGCUCGGCUUGCCGAUGCUGGCAGCGGCGGCACUUGUGGAUGUUGUUUCCCUUCCUGAAGACACUGUCAUGGCCUUUAUCCGUGCCCCUCUUCGAGUAUCGGGGGAAACCCUAGAUCCGGUUCUCCGGAUCGGAUAGCGGCAACGUAACGAUGUUGUUCCCCUUCUUGAAGGCGCUAUCUUGCUAACUCGCGGCGUCCCCGGUGUUGGAUUUGAAGAUGUUUGACGCCUUGCUAGUUUGGCUUGCCUCCUUAGUUCUAGGCUUGGUGGGUUUAGUUGUGUCUUUUUCCUGUUCGGGUUGAGCAUCCCUUGUCUCUCUGCUCUGGGUUCCAUGCUCAUUCCUUCUUGCGUUCAUGUCAUGUUUUGUAACCCUCCUCUGUACUCAAUUCUCUUUCUUCUAUCAAUGAAAUGAUACACAAGCUUUGCGUAUUCGCGAAAAAAAACACACCAGCUACGGCAUAUCAACUCUCGUCAACAGUUUCGUUCCUAAGCAUAGAAGAUUUCACUUAGUGAUGAACCCGCCAACAAACACUGCGGGCACCCUUCUCCAUCCCUAGCCCUGGCCUUGGGUUCAGAAAGUACAGGGUUGGGCUUCAGGAAGUGUGACACUCUAGAGAUCAAAGAGACCUCAUGUGCAUCUGCAUGUAAUGUGACCUUGUAACACGUCGAACCUUAUACAACUUACGGCUUGACAUCUUAUGAAGGGGAAGGAAUGGGAUAUUAAAAAUAGGCAGAUUAGCUGUGAGCAAAAGCUUUUCUCCCAAGUUUAUGAAAUUCUCCAGGAACCAUGAAAUGCCCAGUGACCAUAGAGAAAUGACUACUGUACAUGGUUUGCUAGACGAAUUGCUACGCUAAAGCAAAGCACGAGUAACAUUUGCUAAUCAUAAAACUAUUGUUGCUCUUUCCACGCCCGGACCACGCUGGCAACCACCACCUCCCGACCCGAGCCUUGGACUUGAGCGUCGGCGAGAGGCGAGGCUCAGGCUGAGCACCUCUCGGCCUCCCCCUGUCCCCCUCCCUCUGCCACCGUGGUGUCCAUGGCCGGCGUCACAGGGUGUUCGACGAAAUGGCCAAAGGUUACUUUUAUCCCUUUUUCCUUGUCCUUUUCUUUUUUCUACAACGAUAUGAAAAAUAUAGUUGAAAUUUAUAUUUCAUGCAAAAGGGGGUGUGAACUAGCAAAAGAAAUUGAGUUCAGUUUAGAGGAUCCGCUAGUUCACAGCAUCCUAAUAAACAUAAUUUUCUUGGGAGCCUCCCAAUAAGUUGUUUUAGGGGGGUGAGUAUUGGGAAUGGGAUAGAGAUGCUCUGAAGUGGUUUGGUACCUUAUGCAAAAGAUGCGUUACAGAAAGAAGUUAAUAUAAUGAUGGAAAUCAAACGAUAUGUUCAUUACUUUUAGGCUACCAAGAAACAUCACAGACAGUUACAAUGUCAGGAUUUCUGGCUGAUCACAAACAUCGACUGACAUAAGGGAUUAUAAUGUGGACAUUAUUGGGAAGCUACUGAUGAAUCAGGAAGUUGGAAUUGCAGUGCUCUCUGAAUGUUUAAUAACAGGAGACACAUGACAAAACAAUAUCCUUAUUUAUGGCACUUGCGUAAAACAUCGAAGUGUAAAUAUUGGUGGAAAUAGAUACAUAUUUACCACCAAUACUGCAGCUGUUAGAUGCACGGUCUCACAAUUAAACCCUGUAAUUAUCCUAGUUCUUCUUUGGGUAUUCUCUUGCACCAAAUAUGGUUGAUCCAACUCUGACAUUUGUGCUGCCCAUUUCAAUCUGCAUAAACGCACACAAAAUAAAAGUACACACCAUUAGACAUUAUUAUUCAGUUUGUAUACCUCUGAGUUAUCUUCUUGUAACAUGUUCCUUACCGCCUGCUCAAAAUCGGCAGACAUGCCCAUUGACA
rnacentral:lncRNA from 1 species